rnacentral:rRNA from 1 species
AUUGAACGCUGGCGGCAGGCCUAACACAUGCAAGUCGAACGGUAACAGGAAGAAGCUUGCUUCUUUGCUGACGAGUGGCGGACGGGUGAGUAAUGUCUGGGAAACUGCCUGAUGGAGGGAGAUAACUACUGGAAACGGUAGCUAAUACCGCAUAAUGUCGCAAGACCAAAGAGGGGGACCUUCGGGCCUCUUGCCAUCGGAUGUGCCCAGAUGGGAUUAGCUAGUAGGUGGGGUAACGGCUCACCUAGGCGACGAUCCCUAGCUGGUCUGAGAGGAUGACCAGCCACACUGGAACUGAGACACGGUCCAGACUCCUACGGGAGGCAGCAGUGGGGAAUAUUGCACAAUGGGCGCAAGCCUGAUGCAGCUAUGCCGCGUGUAUGAAGAAGGCCUUCGGGUUGUAAAGUACUUUCAGCGGGGAGGAAGGGAGUAAAGUUAAUACCUUUGCUCAUUGACGUUACCCGCAGAAGAAGCACCGGCUAACUCCGUG